UUUACUUAUUACUUCAGUGAUUCAUGUACGAAAAUAAUACGAACAUCUGCAGGUUUUCGUGUUGAUUCCAUUACGCUUUGCAGCACUUCAAAUCAUUUUCCAAAACGAAUAUAAAAUACGAAGCACUCUGGCAGGAGUAUUCAGAUUAUAUCCAUCAUAUUUUGACUUCUAGACUAUCGGGCACUUCAACGCUAUGUCUCCUUAUUUCUCGAUGAAUUUUGAAUGGAUUAUCUUCGCGAGCUUGUUACUUUUUGUGAUCAUUCAAGUAGCUGCAAUACAGGGUCCAGGUGGCGGUGGUACCUGGGUUAAAAUAACUGAUGGUAAAGGCGGAGAAAUGUGGGUUCAACGAUAAUGACGACGAUAUGUAGGUACAGUAAAUUAUACCUUUUCACGUAAUUAAUCACGCACGCAAGUAUUCAUUAUUUUCUCACUCAAGAAGAUUCUCCUCUUACCACUAGUACCACGAGCCUAUCGAUGUAAAUAUUAUAAAUUAUUGUUAAAAUUCAAGUAUUAUUUUAAUAUCUCAAUAAGAUACCUAAGGUACAAAUAAAUCU